AGAGUUUGAUCCUGGCUCAGAACGAACGCUGGCGGCAGGCUUAACACAUGCAAGUCGAACGCAUCCUUCGGGGUGAGUGGCAGACGGGUGAGUAACGCGUGGGAACGUGCCCUUCAGUUCGGAAUAACCCAGGGAAACUUGGGCUAAUACCGGAUACGUGCGAGAGCAGAAAGAUUUAUCGCUGAAGGAUCGGCCCGCGUCUGAUUAGCUGGUUGGUGGGGUAAUGGCCCACCAAGGCGACGAUCAGUAGCUGGUCUGAGAGGAUGAUCAGCCACAUUGGGACUGAGACACGGCCCAAACUCCUACGGGAGGCAGCAGUGGGGAAUAUUGGACAAUGGGCGCAAGCCUGAUCCAGCCAUGCCGCGUGAGUGAUGAAGGCCUUAGGGUUGUAAAGCUCUUUCGUCCGGGACGAUAAUGACGGUACCGGAAGAAGAAGCCCCGGCUAACUUCGUGCCAGCAGCCGCGGUAAUACGAAGGGGGCUAGCGUUGUUCGGAAUCACUGGGCGUAAAGGGCGCGUAGGCGGCUUUGUAAGUCGGGGGUGAAAGCCUGUGGCUCAACCACAGAAUUGCCUUCGAUACUGCAUGGCUUGAGACCGGAAGAGGUUAAUGGAACUGCGAGUGUAGAGGUGAAAUUCUUAGAUAUUCGCAACAACACCAGUGGCGAAAGGCAGCUGACUGGUCCGGAUCUGACUCUGAGGCGCGAAAGCGUGGGGAAGCACACAGGACUAGAUACCCUGCUAGUCCAGGCCAUAAACGAUGAAAGGG
rnacentral:rRNA from 1 species